rnacentral:rRNA from 1 species
GGUAAGUUCCGACCCGCACGAAAGGCGUAACGAUUUGGGCACUGUCUCAACGAGAGACUCGGUGAAAUCAUAGUACCUGUGAAGAUGCAGGUUACCCGCGACAGGACGGAAAGACCCCGUGGAGCUUUACUGUAGCCUGAUAUUGAAAUUCGGCACAGCUUGUACAGGAUAGGUAGGAGCCUUUGAAACGUGAGCGCUAGCUUACGUGGAGGCGCUGGUGGGAUACUACCCUAGCUGUGUUGGCUUUCUAACCCGCACCACUUAUCGUGGUGGGAGACAGUGUCAGGCGGGCAGUUUGACUGGGGCGGUCGCCUCCUAAAAGGUAACGGAGGCGCUCAAAGGUUCCCUCAGAAUGGUUGGAAAUCAUUCAUAGAGUGUAAAGGCAUAAGGGAGCUUGACUGCGAGACCUACAAGUCGAGCAGGGUCGAAAGACGGACUUAGUGAUCCGGUGGUUCCGCAUGGAAGGGCCAUCGCUCAACGGAUAAAAGCUACCCCGGGGAUAA